UUAUGAAAAUAGUUAAAAAAAUCUUUUGUGGUAAAGUGAAAUAUUAAAUUGUGGUUAGAUUUAUAAAGCCUAGAAGUCUUAUUUUGUUAAGGAACAACUCGUAAUUGGCAACAAUGUGAAAGGUAGACUUCCGUAUAGCUGAUAUGGAGAAUAAAAUUGACCAUAACUAUUAUUUUACGUUAAAACUCCAAUGUUGAAAGGAUCAAGUUUGAGCUCCGCAUUUGUCUGAAUCAUUGAUUUUCCUGUCCCUUUUUUUUUCAUCUAAAGGAAUAAAUGUUGGUGUCAUCUUAAGCUCUAAAGUAAAUGUUCCAUUACAAAAAAAGUUGAUUUCAGAAGCACUCUUUCAGUCACGACUUCUCAUUAAGAAACACCAUCUUAAGAGUGAGGUAUCCAAUGGAAGCUCUAGAUGUUAUGGCUAUUAAAGUUACAAUGGAAGAAAGAGCAAGAGGAAUGUAUUUACUGUUCGUUUACUUUCAUAUGAUUGUCGACGUCACCAAUCUCAGAAUUAUGUGAUAUUCAGUCCAACUCGCCUUUAUAUACAUUCUAAAUAGCAAAUUGAUAUCAAAAGGCAGCGCAUAAUACCUCAUCUAGUUGUAUUAGAGAUUCCUGAUUAUAAAGGUCAUAUAUUUUCCUCUUACUGGUACCCUUAUUAAAAAGAUUUGACUGUGAUAUGUAUGAUAUUCUUUAAAGGACCCGGUACGAUUGUGCAUCCUAUAUACAAACAGGUAAACAAACGGUGGGACUGAAUCAUAGUUGAUAUUCAUUAGGAUCAAACAUGAACAACAUAGUGUUAUUGAAGUUCAGGUUAUAUAUAAUAGUAUACAGGCAGUUAUCAUAAUGCGUUUUACUACUUUUUAAUGGAAAU
rnacentral:lncRNA from 1 species